rnacentral:rRNA from 1 species
CUUCCAGACUCCUACGGGAGGCAGCAGUGGGGAAUCUUCCGCAAUGGACGAAAGUCUGACGGAGCAACGCCGCGUGAGUGAUGACGGCCUUCGGGUUGUAAAGCUCUGUUAAUCGGGACGAAAGGCCUUCUUGCGAAUAGUGAGAAGGAUUGACGGUACCGGAAUAGAAAGCCACGGCUAACUACGUGCCAGCAGCCGCGGUAAUACGUAGGUGGCAAGCGUUGUCCGGAAUUAUUGGGCGUAAAGCGCGCGCAGGCGGAUCGGUCAGUCUGUCUUAAAAGUUCGGGGCUUAACCCCGUGAUGGGAUGGAAACUGCCAAUCUAGAGUAUCGGAGAGGAAAGUGGAAUUCCUAGUGUAGCGGUGAAAUGCGUAGAUAUUAGGAAGAACACCAGUGGCGAAGGCGACUUUCUGGACGAAAACUGACGCUGAGGCGCGAAAGCCAGGGGAGCGAACGGGAUUAGAUACCCCGGUAGUCCUGGCCGUAAACGAUGGGUACUAGGUGUAGGAGGUAUCGACCCCUUCUGUGCCGGAGUUAACGCAAUAAGUACCCCGCCUGGGGAGUACGACCGCAAGGUUGAAACUCAAAGGAAUUGACGGGGGCCCGCACAAG